AAAAUGAACAGCAAACUGUUUAACUUUAAACAGCUUUUCCUGUUGUGGGAAAGCAGCAAUCCAACUCUUCCCACAAUGCCUUUCUCUGAGGAAGGACACUGCAUUGAGGUUUUUAGGGAAGUUAUAUGGAGGAGUACUGCCAGUUGCUUUGCUCUGACAGCAAGUAAUGUUUGGACAAUUUCUUCUUAUAUUCCCCAUCAGAUGUUCAGCAAUAUCUAUGGCAAUAAUGUUUUAUCACAUUUCUUUGCAUUAAAGGAGCAACUGAGAGAAUACUAAAAACUAUUCAAGCAGAGAGAGAAAUAGAGGAGAUGGAAGAGAACAGAAAUGAUGAAGAAAACAGAAUUCAAAACGACUCUUUGUGUGGCUGGUCCAUUGGGCUUCUUGCCUUUUCCAAAGAACACCAACGCUUUGGCUGUGCACACAUUACCAUAUACUGAACAUGCUCCAGCGUGUUUCCGUUACUGCUGCCUGAAGCCGUGUACACGUGACAUUAGCUACAAUCCAUAUCCACCCUGUAGUUUCUUGAGAAGUACUGGACUGAGAGAUAUGAAGGGACAGAAUAUACAUGGAAUGUGAAUGGAAACUGAAUGUGGCUAUUUAAACAUGAUCUACCUAACGAAACAAGAGCCAAACAGCCCUCUCUGUUUUCCCACUGCCAGUUAGGUGAGUCCUGUUCUCCUUUGCAGGUGUUCUCUUUGCCUUUGGGGAGCAGCCUUUCAAAAGUGACAGGUUCUGUGAAAUUACUUCAGUUAUAAACCCCUCCAACCACUGAUUUGAUCUGUGGUUGGGUCGUCAGCAGGAUGAGAAACUGAGGAAACCAUGAGUAGUUUCACAUGAAGAGCUACAAUAUCUAAAGUCACAGAUGGGCAACUAUGAGAGUGUGUUGACAUACCAUACAGUGAGAUUGUGGCUCACCUCACAGGAGCACAUAGUUGGCAACUUGACAACAACUGCACACUGAAAUACCAUUGCCCCUGAAAACCUCACUGUCAGGAUUCUUCGUUCCUGACCUGUGCCACCUUAUACCAUUUGGUAGUGCCAAACUGCAUACAACUAAAAAGGCACAACUUGGAGACUUCAUUGCCACAGUUGCUCAACUGAAAUCAAGUCAGGUGUUCUGAAGGAGUAAAAUGAAGAUGCCUGGUAGCUGUUAGCAUUUCUAAUGGUUUUUUUUUAACCAACUACCAUUUAUGUCUAGUGUGAAAUUUCUCUAGGCUGUAGAGGUCCCUUGGAAUGAAAGGUAUACAUUA